rnacentral:rRNA from 1 species
UGCUUCCUACGGGGGGCAGCAGUGAGGAAUAUUGGUCAAUGGACGGAAGUCUGAACCAGCCAUGCCGCGUGUAGGAAGACGGCUCUAUGAGUUGUAAACUGCUUUUGUACGAGGGUAAACCCCGAUACGUGUAUCGGGUUGAAAGUACCGUACGAAUAAGGAUCGGCUAACUCCGUGCCAGCAGCCGCGGUAAUACGGAGGAUCCGAGCGUUAUCCGGAUUUAUUGGGUUUAAAGGGUGCGUAGGCGGUUUGAUAAGUUAGAGGUGAAAUGUCGGGGCGCAACCCCGAAACUGCCUCUAAUACUG